rnacentral:rRNA from 1 species
UACGGGGGGGGCAAGCGUUGUUCGGAAUUACUGGGCGUAAAGGGCUCGUAGGUGGCCAACUAAGUCAGACGUGAAAUCCCUCGGCUUAACCGGGGAACUGCGUCUGAUACUGGAUGGCUUGAGUUCGGGAGAGGGAUGCGGAAUUCCAGGUGUAGCGGUGAAAUGCGUAGAUAUCUGGAGGAACACCGGUGGCGAAGGCGGCAUCCUGGACUGAGACUGACGCUGAGGAGCGAAAGCCAGGGGAGCAAACGGG